AUUAAAGUAGCAAAACCAGGCCCUGCAAUAAGACUUAAAACCUUAAGACGGGUGUUCAAAUCACCCCUUUAAUA
rnacentral:tRNA from 1 species